UACAGAGGUCUCGAGCGUUGUCCGGAUUUACUGGGCGUAAAGAGCGUGUAGGCGGCCAAACAGGUCCGUUGUGAAAACUGGAGGCUCAACCUCCAGACGUCGACGGAAACCGUGUGGCUAGAGUCCGGAAGAGGAGAGUGGAAUUCCUGGUGUAGCGGUGAAAUGCGCAGAUAUCAGGAAGAACACCAAUGGCGAAGGCAGCUCUCUGGGACGGUACUGACGCUGAGACGCGAAAGCGUGGGGAGCGAACAGG
rnacentral:rRNA from 1 species